GUUGCUGGGGUGGAAAUUCCUGUUACCUGCAGCAGGGCUGGAUUUGCUGUUCAUCUGCAUCUGCACAUUUGCAGAUGCCUGUGAUCACAGCAGCAGGAGUUAUACACAGGGUACACUGAUGGGGGGAACCAUGCAUGGAGCAGAAGAGAAUUGGAAGAAAUGCCUCAUGAUCCAUGGUUUCAGUGUCUCUGCUUUCCAAGAAAGAGGGCUCAUCAUCACUCCUGCGCAGGAGAUCAGAAAGACUCCACUCAUAUGCUCUGCCACCUCUCUCUUGAGAUUUUUGUCUCAAAAUGCCCUCCUGAUAAGAUUCAAGAUCCUGACAUGUAAAACGAGACAAAGAAGAUGGAUGUGGUGGGCUGGUGAUUUCCAGCAAUAAAUCUUGGUGCUACAUGAAA